CCUGGCGGCACUAGCGCGGUGGUCCCACCUGACCCCAUGCCGAACUCAGAAGUGAAACGCCGUAGCGGCUAUGGUAGUGAGGGCACGCCG
rnacentral:rRNA from 1 species